UACGGAGGGUGCGAGCGUUGUCCGGAAUCACUGGGCGUAAAGGGCGCGUAGGCGGCCGUGCAAGCGUGGGGUGAAAGUCCGGGGCUCAACCCCGGAUCGGCCUUGCGGACUGCGCGGCUGGAGCACUGUAGAGGCGGGUGGAAUUCCGGGUGUAGCGGUGGAAUGCGUAGAGAUCCGGAAGAACACCGGUGGCGAAGGCGGCCCGCUGGGCAGUGGCUGACGCUGAGGCGCGACAGCGUGGGGAGCAAACAGG
rnacentral:rRNA from 1 species